AGCGGCGUAGCCAGUAUUGUCCUUAAAAGCGUUCGGAGCGCACGUCUAUAUGCCUCUCCUUCUUAAUCUAUCCAUCUCUCUCUAAUUUCGCGAUAUUCAUCCUUCAAUAAAAAAAAGCAAUAGUGAUAAGUGAUAAAAAAUUAGUGAUAUUUUACGACUGUUAUCAAUUUAUUUAAGUUAACAGUGUUACGUAACAGGUUAAGGAAACGAACUGUUACCGAUUUAAAAAAAGAACAUUAUUUAACGUUAAAGUAUUUAUAAACAACGAUCGUACUGUGAUAAAGUAAAACGACGAGAGAAUUAAAAAAAAAAAUAAAAAAAAAAAACAAAACAUGUUCGCGCGUUAAUUGUUGCCGUAUUCAAAAAUCGAAUGUGUUUUCAUUUAGAAAAUGUCUCAAGAAUCAACGAUGACGAAGAAUUUUUUGACCGUCACCAAUAUCGUUAAUGAAGGUUUCAAAGGCGCCAAGAUCUCUCAGCUCGGGCUGUCCAAGUAUCUCUCACAGUCACU